CGACGAAUUGAUACCAAUAGUAUAACGCGGUGAAGAUUAAAAUGUGCCAAAUAUUGUGGGAGCUUAAGAUGUAGUUGAAUUUGCCUGGAUACAGUCGCUACAAAUGUAUGGAAAUAUAAUAAUUUUAUUAGGGGGAAAUUUGGAAACAUAAAAUCCAAACGCCAAACUAGAGAUGAGAUACAUUGUAAUAAUUCGUGGAAGCAGGUGCUGUGUAAAACAACAAAGAAAAUGAUUAUUAUGAAUGCCUCGUAACCAUGACAACCAUAACUAUGCAUCAAUCAAGAAACUCACCUUGACCUCCUGAUCCAAAUCGUCAUGACUACCAUUGAAUACUAAAAAGUGGACCAAUUUCCCCAAAUACUCGAAAUUGCCGCCACUACCCCUCAUCCACACCCACUGAACGGUCGGAAUGACCCCGUACGCAGCCCACGCCCCGAAUAGAAAUAAUCUCCACUGGAAACCACCCUCACUGUCGGCAGGGAUAAGUUGAGCGGCUAAGGCGAUCAGCAAAAUUGCGAGGACGGUAAAGGUGUAAAAUUUGAGCCAGAACUAGAUACAUAUUAAUUUAUAAUUAAUUAGUAUUUUUAAUUGUAAUUAAUUAAUUAAUUGUAGUUAAUUUUAUCCAUUUACCUGAUCACAUUUAUACGCGAAAUAUAUUCCACUAAGGUAAAUUCCUAGUAGACUUAGCGAUACCCCAAGUAAAUCGGCUCGUAACCUAUGUGAAUAAUUUAAUUUUUAAUUAAGGAUUUAAUUACUAAUUAACUUUAAAUCCAUACCAACGAUGAUAACUUUUGUCACUGCAGCAACAAAACGUAUGAUAACACGACGAUAGCAACAUGCAUGCCUGUAAGUAACCAUGGAAACAAUGUAUUAUUAUUUUUAAAUCAUGGAAACAAUAAUAAAUUGUUGAAUCAUGAAAACGAUAAA